GCGGGGGUAGCCGAGCUGGCCAAAGGCGCAGGACUUAAGAUCCUGUUCCGCAGGGAUACGUGGGUUCGAAUCCCACCCCCCGCA
rnacentral:tRNA from 1 species